rnacentral:rRNA from 1 species
GCGCGGUAAAACCAGCACCUCAAGUGGUCAGGAUGAUUAUUGGGCCUAAAGCAUCCGUAGCCGGCUCUGUAAGUUUUCGGUUAAAUCUAUGCGCUCAACGUAUGGGCUGCCGAAAAUACUGUAGAGAUAGGGAGUGGGAGAGGUAGACGGUACUCGGUAGGAAGGGGUAAAAUCCUUUGAUCUAUCGAUGACCACCUGUGGCGAAGGCGGUCUACCAGAACACGUUCGACGGUGAGGGAUGAAAGCUGGGGGAGCAAACCGGAUUAGAUACCCGGGUAGUCCCAGCUGUAAACGAUGCAGACUCGAUGAUGCAUUGGCAUAUAGCCAGUGCAGUGUCGCAGGGAAGCCGUUAAGUCUGCCGCCUGGGAAGUACGUACGCAAGUAUGAAACUUAAAGGAAUUGGCGGGGGAGCA